rnacentral:rRNA from 1 species
GACGAAUGCUGACGGCAUGACUAAUACAUGCAAGUCGACCUAAGGGGCGAACGGCGUAGUAACACGUGGGUAAUCAACACAUCAGAAGGGGAUAACACUUGGAAACAGGUGCUAAUACCGUAUACUGAUGGAUGGACCCGCGGUGCAUUAGCUAGUUGGAGAGGUAACGGCGUACCGAGGCCAAGAUGCAUAGCCGUCCGGAGAGGGGGAUCAGCCACACGGGGACUGCGACACGGCCCAAACUCCUACGGGAGGCAGCAGUAGGGAAUCUUGAGCAAUGGACGAAAGUCUGACCGAGCUACGCCGCGUGAGUGAAGAAGGUAUUCGUAUCGUAAACUAUUGGUGGGAGGGGAGCGGUAACUGACCAGAAAGCUACGGCUAACUGCGUGUCAGCAGCCGCGGUAAUAC